rnacentral:tRNA from 1 species
UAGCUCAGUGGUAAAGUGUAUGCCUAGCAUGCAUGAGGUCCUGGGUUCAAUUCUCAG